AAAUUGAAUGGAAGAGCAAAAUCUUAGUUUCUUUGGAUGUCGUUAAGACCCUAAAACGUAGUCUCUAAACCAAUCAUCGAUCAGGAAAGAAGGUUUUUUUGGCAGAUUUCAUCGAUAAAGGUGGUUUCUUUUUCCUCGGUCUCUGAGCAGAAGAAAACGGAGACGAUGUCGUCUGAUCUCGGUGAUUAUACUGUCAUUAAGGAAGGCGAAUAUGAAAUCCUCAUGCUCGCCAAAAAAGAAGUCUUUUACAGCAAGACCCAUGUUCCAAAAUCAGGUCUUUAAGCUUUUUCCGUUAGAAUUCUGUGUUCUCUUAAUCAGGGGUACAACAGAAUUUGGUAGUUGUUCUGUUGAUUAUUGAUUUUUUUUUUAUGUAAUGGGUUCACCGAAAUACAAAUGAAGUGUAAUGCUGGCUGAAAAUGAAGAAAGAUCGAUCCUUGAAGUUUCAGUUUUUCUGAAGAGUUUAAGUCGCAUUGUAUGGUGUGUGUGUGUGUGUGAUUUGAACCACAGGAAAUGUAUUUUGAAGUUGAUGAAUUUUUGUUCAGGAGUGCUUUUGCUGUGUUGUUGGUCAUCGGUUAAAGGAUUUUGUUUCCCUGCGUUGAAAAAUAAGGAAUUAAAUCCAUAACAUCGACGGAAUCUUGAGUCUGUGUUAAGGUCACCAGAUUCUAUCAUCCUUUUUAUAGUUUGCAAGAAGAAAUCUGAUUUAAGGUGUUAAGUUCGUGGGAAUAGGGACCAGUGUCAAAUGGAGACAUGUCCAUUGCUGUCAUAAGAGCAAGAGGCAAUAUUGUCUAGCAGAAGAAACAGAGUAUCAUAAUCCAUUGAGAAGGAUGGCGAUAUAUUUUCCCAGGGAAAAGCGCCUGAGAAUUCUCAUAGAGAUAGCUCAUUUGAUUUUGAUUCUCCAGGCUAUGUCAGCUUCUUAUUCUGGGCUGAGAGCAUUAAGAUAUGCUUUUGAAGUAUAAGAGAUCGGUCAAGUUGUGGGAUUAGAUGAGGCAUCAUUAGAGGCUUGCAGAAGAAAUAUAGAGUUCGAUGGUUCAGUUUCAAGAUCGAAGGUAGAGUCACAUUUCGCCAAUCCCCACGUAUGUAUGCCCACAAAUCCAAAAGAAUUCGAUAUGGUAUGUGACUUUGUCUAUAUCUGCAUUCUAAGACUGAUACAUGUUACUAUAAAUGCAAAAGAUAUUUUAAGAUAUUUUCACUUUAGACAAAGAGCAUUGACUGCCUUGACUAUAUACAUGAUCGCACAGGUCGGCCUGGAUCCAUCCCUAUGGUUCAUCUUCUGUAAUUCUUGGACUCUGCGGUCCAAUCUGCUUCAUGCAUUUGGGUUACGGUUCUUGGUUUUAGUCAUUCAUCUCUUUGCUUUUAGAUAUGGUUCAUACCCUUUCAAAGGGAAACACUGUCAUGAGAUGGCUUUGAGGAUUCUCCUUGCGUGUAUCGAGGAACAUCUCUCAUAUGACUCCAUAUCUUCCAUCCUUCCAAGUAUUUGCUCACAUAAAAGUUAGUUAUGUUUAUAGUUGUUUCCUCUGCCACAUUGCUUUUUCACAAAAAUAUAUGAUGUAUGUAAAAUUAUGUCUGCCCAUAGAUGCAGAGUCAUGCAAAUCGCUAUAAGCGGUACAUAGCUCCUGUUCUAUCGCUCCAAUGGACUUCUAAGUUAACCUGUUAACUCGACCCUUGGCCUGGACAUGAUCAUAGUCGAAUAUGAACUUAAUGUGUUUGAUGCAGUUCUGCUGGUGAAAUGAAGAACUGUCAUGUGUUUACCAGUGUAAUGGUUAUGAUUCCUUUCAUCUUCUGCCUGUUGGGAUAACUGUUGAAAUGGUGGAAACACUGAUUUGAUAGAUUUUGCCCGGGCAGGCGUCUCUUAGCAAAGCAGAGGCAAAGAAGAAAGAUGUGCGCUUUCUUCGAAACCCGGGAAGAGAACUGAGGUAGAAAGAGCGAGGAGACAAAGCAAAUCUGUACCUGGAUCUGGGAAAACAGAAAGAGUUUUCCGGCCACAUUGAUCCUUCUUGUGGAUUUGGAACAUAUUUACUUGUUUCUUGUCUUACGUUAUGAAAUCUGAUGUUUUAUCUGAUGUCCAUUUACAGUUUU